UCUUAUUUUUCACUAGUAUUCAUUUGGGCUCAACUUCAUUCCUUGCUAUACUUUUGUCAUAGGUUACUUAUUUUCACUACUCACUAUUAUGCUCCUCUAGGCGUAACGGUAAGGUUAUCUGUCUUGUUACCUGACCUAGUAGUCAAGGGUUUCAAAUCCCGGAAACAGUCUCUUCCCUUGCUAGGGCAAGACCAUAUAUAUCUACUCUCCCCGGAC
rnacentral:lncRNA from 1 species